rnacentral:rRNA from 1 species
UACAGAGGUCUCAAGCGUUGUUCGGAUUCAUUGGGCGUAAAGGGUGCGUAGGCGGCGUGGUAAGUUGAGUGUGAAAUCCUGGGGCUUAACCUCAGAACUGCACUCAAUACUGCCAUGCUCGAGGAAUGUAGAGGAGAGUGGAAUUCACGGUGUAGCAGUGAAAUGCGUAGAUAUCGUGAGGAAGACCAGUUGCGAAGGCGACUCUCUGGGCAUUUCCUGACGCUGAGGCACGAAGGCCAGGGGAGCAAACGGG